rnacentral:rRNA from 1 species
UAGUGGCGAACGGGUGAGUAACACGUGAGUAACCUGCCCUUGACUCUGGGAUAAGCCUGGGAAACUGGGUCUAAUACCGGAUAUGACCAUUCCACGCAUGUGGUGGUGGUGGAAAGCUUUUGCGGUUUUGGAUGGACUCGCGGCCUAUCAGCUUGUUGGUGGGGUAAUGGCCUACCAAGGCGACGACGGGUAGCCGGCCUGAGAGGGUGACCGGCCACACUGGGACUGAGACACGGCCCAGACUCCUACGGGAGGCAGCAGUGGGGAAUAUUGCACAAUGGGCGGAAGCCUGAUGCAGCGACGCCGCGUGAGGGAUGACGGCCUUCGGGUUGUAAACCUCUUUCAGUAGGGAAGAAGCGUAAGUGACGGUACCUGCAGAAGAAGCGCCGGCUAACUACGUGCCAGCAGCCGCGGUAAUACGUAGGGCGCAAGCGUUAUCCGGAAUUAUUGGGCGUAAAGAGCUCGUAGGCGGUUUGUCGCGUCUGCUGUGAAAGACCGGGGCUCAACUCCGGUUCUGCAGUGGGUACGGGCAGACUAGAGUGCAGUAGGGGAGACUGGAAUUCCUGGUGUAGCGGUGAAAUGCGCAGAUAUCAGGAGGAACACCGAUGGCGAAGGCAGGUCUCUGGGCUGUAACUGACGCUGAGGAGCGAAAGCAUGGGGAGCGAACAGGAUUAGAUACCCUGGUAGUCCAUGCCGUAAACGUUGGGCACUAGGUGUGGGGGACAUUCCACGUUUUCCGCGCCGUAGCUAACGCAUUAAGUGCCCCGCCUGGGGAGUACGGCCGCAAGGCUAAAACUCAAAGGAAUUGACGGGGGCCCGCACAAGCGGCGGAGCAUGCGGAUUAAUUCGAUGCAACGCGAAGAACCUUACCAAGGCUUGACAUGGACUGGAAAGAUCUGGAGACAGGUCCCCCGCUUGCGGUCGGUUCACAGGUGGUGCAUGGUUGUCGUCAGCUCGUGUCGUGAGAUGUUGGGUUAAGUCCCGCAACGAGCGCAACCCUCGUUCUAUGUUGCCAGCGCGUUAUGGCGGGGACUCAUAGGAGACUGCCGGGGUCAACUCGGAGGAAGGUGGGGACGACGUCAAAUCAUCAUGCCCCUUAUGUCUUGGGCUUCACGCAUGCUACAAUGGCCGGUACAAAGGGUUGCGAUACUGUGAGGUGGAGCUAAUCCCAAAAAGCCGGUCUCAGUUCGGAUUGGGGUCUGCAACUCGACCCCA